rnacentral:rRNA from 1 species
GACGAACGCUGGCGGCGUGCUUAACACAUGCAAGUCGAACGGAAAGACCCUGCUUUUGUGGUGUGCUCGAGUGGCGAACGGGUGAGUAACACGUGAGUAACCUGCCCUUGACUUUGGGAUAACUUCAGGAAACUGGGGCUAAUACCGGAUAGGAGCUCCUGCUGCAUGGUGGGGGUUGGAAAGUUUCGGAGGUUGUGGAUGGACUCGCGGCUUAUCAGCUUGUUGGUGGGGUAGUGGCUUACCAAGGCUUUGACGGGUAGCCGGCCUGAGAGGGUGACCGGCCACAGUGGGACUGAGAUACGGCCCAGACUCCUACAGGAGGCAGCAGUGGGGAAUAUUGCACAAUGGGCGGAAGCCUGAUGCAGCAACGCCGCGUGCGGGAUGACGGCCUUCUGGUUGUAAACCGCUUUCGCCUGUGACGAAGCGUGAGUGACGGUAAUGGGUAAAGAAGCACCGGCUAACUACGUG